AUGAUCAAAUGCUUGUCAGCUGAAGUACAAGCUAAAUUGCGUUCUGGUUUGGCUGUAUGCUCCUUAGGCCAAUGUGUUGAGGAGCUUGCCCUCAACAGUAUUGAUGCUGAAGCAAAAUGUGUGGCUGUCAGGGUGAACAUGGAAACCUUCCAAGUUCAAGUGAUAGACAAUGGAUUUGGGAUGGGGAGUGAUGAUGUAGACAAGGUGGGAAAUCGUUAUUUCACCAGUAAAUGCAACUCUGUACAAGACUUGGAGAACCCAAGGUUUUAUGGUUUCCGGGGGGAGGCGUUGGCCAGUAUAGCAGAUAUGGCCAGUGCUGUGGAAAUUUCAUCCAAGAAAAACAAGUCGAUGAAAACAUUUGUGAAACUGUUUCAGAAUGGGAAAGCCCUGAAAGCUUGUGAAGCUGCCUUCACUCGACCAAGUACCGGGACAACAGUCACUGUAUAUAAUCUGUUUUAUCAAUUACCUGUUAGGAGGAAAUGCAUGGAUCCUAGACUGGAGUUUGAGAAGGUUAGGCAGAGGAUAGAAGCUCUGUCACUCAUGCACCCUUCCAUUUCUUUCUCUUUGAGAAAUGAUGUUUCUGGUUCCAUGGUUCUUCAACUCCCUAAAACGAAAGACAUAUGUUCCCGAUUUUGUCAAAUUUAUGGACUGGGUAAGUCCCAAAAGUUAAGAGAAAUAAAUUUUAAAUAUAAGGAGUUUGAGCUUACUGGCUUUAUCAGCUCUGAAGCACAUUAUAAUAAGAAUAUGCAGUUUUUGUUUGUGAACAAGAGGUUAGUUUUAAGGACAAAGUUGCAUAAACUCAUUGACUUUUUAUUAAGGAAAGAAAGUAUUAUAUGCAAACCAAAGAGUGGUUCUGCCAGUAGGCAAAUGAAUUCAAGUCCUCGGCCUAGGUCUAACCCGGAACUCCAUGGGAUCUACGUAAUCAAUGUGCAGUGCCAGUUCUGUGAGUAUGACGUGUGCCUGGAGCCAGCAAAAACCCUGAUUGAGUUUCAGAACUGGGAUACUCUUUUGGUUUGCAUUCAGGAAGGAGUAAAAAUGUUUUUAAAGAAAGAAAAAUUAUUUGUGGAAUUAUCAAGUGAAGACAUUAAGGAAUUUAGUGAAGAUAAUGAUUUUAGUUUAUUCAGUGCCAGUCUUCAGAAGCAAGUGUCCUCUGAUGAGAAGUGUGGCCGGGUCAGUUUCCAAGAAGCAUGUAAUAAUAUUUUGGAUUCCUAUGAGAUGUUCAAUUUGCAGUCAAAAGCUGUGAAAAGAAAAGCUCCUGUAGAAAACAUAAGCACACAUAAUUCUAGGGAUUCGGAAACUAUCAGAAAAAAGACAAAUGAUUCAUUUUUGUACACUUACAAAUCCGAUGGGCCAGCCCAUUAUAAAAUGGCAGAGUCAUCUUUGCAAAAUGAAGACAGUGCUUGCUCACACUCAAGGAACUUAGAACAAGACACAGCUGGAGCAUCAGAAUCAGGAGAAAAUAAGAAACAUAAAAAAUCUUGCUUGGAACAUAACUCUUCAGAAAAUCCAUGUGGAACCAGUUCAGAAAUGUGUGGAAGCCCUUUUCAGACAUUAUAUCACUUUGAGGGGAGUGGAGAAGAUCUAGAAAUACAAAAAGUAAGUACUGCUGUUAAUAGCAUGGCUGCCAACAUCCUGGAAAAUAACAGAAUUCAGAAUCAACCAGAGAGAUAUAAAGAUGCUACUGAAAUGAAAUGCCAACCUCUGUCUUUUGAGACAGCAUUAUCAGGAGAACCUAGUGCUCAGAGAGAGGAAGAGAAAAGAAAAAAACCUAGUGCUUGUGGAAGAAUAAAUGUUUUUCAUUAUGGACAAGUUAAAUUAUGUUCUACUGGCUUCAUAACUCAUGUGGUACAGAGUGAGCAAACUAAAUCAACUGAAACAGAACAUUUAUUUAAAAGUUAUGCUCAACCUGGUCCUGUGAGUGCCAAAGAAACAUUUAGAAAUAGAACACACCAUUCAGUUAAGAUUCUAAACAGCAAAGAUUUAACCAGCACUUUAAGUAAAGAAUUUGCUCAACUGCCCAACAAAAGUCUGUGCAGCACAGAUCGAAGUUAUGAGCUAGAGAACAAACAUACAGCAGCUUAUAAAAAUUUUGCUAUUUUUCAGGAAAGUAGUAAAAAAUCACACACAGGUGGCUUAUUACUCGACACAUCCUCUUUCUCUUGGGGUAGACAUGUUUCAGAUGGUAGUAAGAAAACCGACAAGUUGAUUGGUCCUGCCAAACCCAUACCUCAUAAGAAGCUAAGCUUAAGUUCACAACUAGGAUCUUUAGAGAAGUUUAAGAGGCAAUAUGGGAAGGUUAAAAAUCCUCUCAAUACUGAAGUGGAGGAAAAUAAUACUUUAGAAAUCACUACCAAUCUCAGUCCUCAAGUUGAAGCUGACAUUCCAUGGAAAGACAAAAACCACUUAGACAACUCUGACAUCUGUGAAAUCACUACUAUGAAAUAUAAUGAUUCCAAUAGUAGUUGUCAACCAGUAAAUCACAUGUUUUCUUCAGAAAAGUUUCCAUUCUCCAAGGAAGAUCAUUGUUUGGAACAACAGAUGCUUUGCUUAACAGAAAGUACUGUAACUCUACAGGAGUUACCUCAUUUUAACAGUAAAUUUUUGGAUGUUGAGAAGUCACCUGAAUCACUAGCCUCUAAAUUAUCCAGAUUGAAGGAUUCCGAAAGAGAGACUCCAAGGAUGGAUGUAAGUCAUUUUAAUGAAUUGCCACAAUUAGAUUCCAGUAGGAAAGAUGGUGACUUGUCCAGUGGGUUAACCCUAGAUUCUUGUAAGUUAUUUAAAAAUGAGCAUAAAAAACCAGAAAGUGACAACAUCCCAAUGUCAGACUCUGUCACACAAAGUAAUCUCUUCAGUAAAGACAGUGAAACAUAUUCUAACAACAAUACCACUGAGAAGAUACCAGGAAAUCCUUUGGUUCUGCCCUAUGACCAUGCUACAGUUAUCAGUAAGGAUUCAGAUGUUCUUAUAGCUUCAAAACAACAGAUUGGAAGUCCUUUCUCUAUGAGCAGAAUGUUAAUGAGUCGCAUGGAAGAUUCCACAGCUGACCAAAAUGGAACUUGUUUUCAGAGUGAGGAAUCCAUAGCCAUAGCAAGAACUUGUUCUGAAAAUGAAGGGUCCAACAUAUGUUCUUUGGAUUGGCAGCAGCAUUUUGAUGUAACUCUGGGAAGAAUGGUUUACAUCAACAAACUAACAGGACUUAGCACGUUCACUGCUCCUACUGAGGAUGUUCGGGCCGCUUGUACUAAAGACCUGACAACUAUGGCUGUGGAUGUGCUACUGGAGAACGCUACUGGGGACGAUGCCUUUGGUCCUGAAUCGCUUCAGUCUUUGUUCUCAGAAUGGGACAAUCCAAUAUUUGCCCGUUAUCCAGAGGUUGCUGUUGACGUAAGCAGCGGCCAAGCUGAGAGCCUAGCAGUUAAAAUUCACAACAUCUUGUAUCCUUAUCGUUUCACCAAAGAAAUGAUUCACUCAAUGCAGGUUCUCCAGCAAGUGGAUAACAAGUUUAUUGCCUGUUUAAUGAGCACUAAGACUGAAGAGAAUGGUGAGGCAGGUGGAAACCUGCUAGUCUUGGUGGACCAGCACGCUGCCCACGAGCGCGUCCGACUGGAGCAGCUGAUCAUUGAUUCCUAUGAGAAACAACAGCCACAAGGCUUUGGUCGAAAAAAAUUACUGUCUUCCAUCGUAAGUCCUCCACUAGAGAUAACAGUGACAGAGGAACAAAGGAGACUCUUACGGUGUUACCACAAAAAUCUGGAAGAUCUGGGCCUUGAAAUUGUAUUUCCAGACACCAGUGAUUCACUGGUCCUCAUAGGAAAAGUACCACUCUGUUUUGUAGAAAGAGAAGCCAAUGAACUUCGAAGAGGAAGAUCUACUGUGACCAAGGGCAUUGUGGAGGAGUUUAUUCGAGAACAAGUGGAGCUACUCCAGACCACAGGAGGCAUCCAAGGGACUUUACCACUGACCGUCCAGAAGGUGUUGGCAUCCCAAGCCUGCCAUGGGGCCAUUAAGUUUAAUGAUGGCCUGAGCUUCGAGGAGAGCUGUCGCCUUAUUGAAGCGCUAUCCUGGUGCCAGCUGCCGUUCCAGUGUGCUCAUGGCAGGCCCUCCAUGCUGCCAUUAGCUAACAUCGACCACUUGGAGCAGGAAAAACAGACUAAACCCAAUCUUGCUAAACUUCGCAGAAUGGCUCAGGCCUGGCAUCUCUUUGGAAAAGGAGAAGGAUGUGAUGUAGGGCAAGGCCUGCAGGCAUCCAUGCCUCCUUGUGAGCUGCCAAGAGAGCAGAAUUACUCUCUGUAAGGACCCAAAGGGAUGCUGACUGUAGGCCUUUGAGCAGAGAGCAUGAGCAACAGACACCAAUCGGGUCUUGACUGAAUGGGCCUGGGGCCCUGAUCAGCAUCUCCAUCUUCCCUGAGCAGGUGAUCCCUCCAGUUGAGGAGCCAGAUGGAUUUCAAGCCUAAAGACAGGUCAUUCAUUGGCAUCCAUGGACACAGGAGGUUGCCUUCUAAUGUCUACAUUUUGUAAUUUAUAAAGGGGAUAAAAUUUAAUGACUAAUUGUC
rnacentral:lncRNA from 1 species